UACGUAGGGGGCUAGCGUUGUCCGGAUUUAUUGGGCGUAAAGAGCGUGUAGGCGGCCAGAUAGGUCUGCUGUGAAAACUCGAGGCUCAACCUCGAGACGUCGGCGGAAACCAUCUGGCUAGAGUCCGGAAGAGGAGAGUGGAAUUCCUGGUGUAGCGGUGAAAUGCGCAGAUAUCAGGAAGAACACCCGUGGCGAAGGCGGCUCUCUGGGACGUUACUGACGCUGAUGCGCGAAAGCGUGGGGAGCAAACAGG
rnacentral:rRNA from 1 species